rnacentral:rRNA from 1 species
UGGGGGAAUAUUGGACAAUGGGCGAAAGCCUGAUCCAGCAAUGCCGCGUGUGUGAAGAAGGCCUUCGGGUUGUAAAGCACUUUUGUCCGGAAAGAAAUCCUCUGGGUUAAUACCUCGGGGGGAUGACGGUACCGGAAGAAUAAGCACCGGCUAACUACGUGCCAGCAGCCGCGGUAAUACGUAGGGUGCAAGCGUUAAUCGGAAUUACUGGGCGUAAAGCGUGCGCAGGCGGUUUUGUAAGACGGAUGUGAAAUCCCCGGGCUUAACCUGGGAACUGCAUUCGUGACUGCAAGGCUAGAGUAUGGCAGAGGGGGGUAGAAUUCCACGUGUAGCAGUGAAAUGCGUAGAGAUGGUGGAGGAAUACCGAUGGCGAAGGCAGCCCCCUGGGCCAAUACUGACGCUCAUGCACGAAAGCGUGGGGAGCAAACAGGAUUAAAUGACCCUGGUAGUCCACGCCCUAAACGAUGUCAACUAGUUGUUGGGGAUUCAUUUCCUUAGUAACGUAGCUAACGCGUGAAGUUGACCGCCUGGGGAGUACGGUCGCAAGAUUAAAAACUUAAAUGAAUUGACGGGG